rnacentral:lncRNA from 1 species
AAACUUACCAAACAUUCUUUUCAUUAAAAAUUAUAACAUAAUUACUUUAUAAAAUUUCAACCGGAGCUUAAAUCAAAAUUGACGGAUUUAGAACAAUGAAUUUAAAAGUACUAUGAAACUUAUUUUUAAUGAACUCGUCCUUAAAGGGAAGUUUGGCAAAUAAAUAUGAGACUGGUGACGCUUGUCAUAAUUAGUAAUCUUAGGUGGCGUUUGUUUUUUAACUUAAUGACUUAAAGUGACUUAACUUAAUUAAUUAAGUUAAUUAGAGGUGGUUGUUUUUAUAACUUAGAGCAUCUCCAAAAGCCUCUAUAAAUUUUACUUUUCAAAUACCUAUUUACUUAUCUAUGUGGUAAAUAGAAGGGUGAAAAAAUAUGAUAUUCUCCAAAAAACUCUUCAAAUAGAAAUAAGUUAAUAUUAUUUUAAUCAUAUAAUUAGUUUUUUAAAGGAAAAGUCAAUAGCAAUUAAAUCACAUCUCUCUCUUUCUUCAAUGAAAAGUAAUAAAAUAUAAAUUGAAGAGGGGGAAAUUAAUUCUCCAAAUUUGAAGAGAGAAAAUCAAUUCUUAUUUGAAUAAUCUUAAUUGGAGUGUCUUUUGAAGUUUUAAAUAUUGACGUGGCUCUUCAAAUAAGUAAUAAAAUCUUAUUUGAAGAGUCUUUUGGUGAUGCUCUUAAUGAGACUUUUUAGAUAAUUUUGACUUAAUAAAAUAAGCAAAUUUUUUUAGCUUUUUACUUAAUGGAGAAAUUUGAAUUAAGUUAAUUACUUACUAAUGUAAAAAGUAUCCAUGUUUUAUAAUUUAUUUUUCAUAUCUAUCCCAAAACUCACCUAUAGACAUUUACCCCACACAAAAAUAUCCAUAGUUUUUCUUUCUUAUAUUAUAUAUGACAAAAUUUGAAAUUUAUGGUAUUUUAUAUAUUAAAAUUCUAAAAUAAUUAUGUAUUUACUUGAAUAUAGUUUUACUUAUAAAUGUUAAAAUAUUGUGGUAUUUAAUAUAUUAUUUAUUUGACAUUCAAAUUUAAUAAGGAUACAAAUAUAAAAGUACAUAUUUUCAGCUUUUUCAGUUGAAAAAAUCAAACAACUUAAUACUUAUUUUUUGAGAUUCAUACAAAAAAAUAAAUAUAUUAUUCAAAUUUAGACAUUUAAAUCUAUUUAAAAUUCAGAUUAAUUUAUGUCUAUUUAAAUUUCAUAUAAAAAAACAAACGACACCUUACAAAAGAAACAUUAUCUUGCCGGUGGAAAUGGGAUACUACUAUAUUGUUCCGUCAUUUUGGAAAGGUUUGACUACUUUGAAUGACCAACGCCAAUUAUAUAAACUUUUCAUGUAUAUCCAAAUGCUACUUCUUUGAAUUUUGUAUCAUCUGGAAAUCACUUUCUGCUACUCGUCUUAUUGACUACCGGACUAGAAUUACUAACAUGCCCUUUUCAGUACUUGUAGCUGUCGCUUUGCUUUGUUUGCUUUGCCUUUGUAGGUACACGUCACCACCCUGAAUCUAUAAAAAUCUAUCCAUUAUCGGUGGAAGCUGACGUGGCACGCGACACGUGUAGUGGAACAGCCAGAUGCUCCUGUCCAAGCUUGUCCGAGGCCAAGCCUUAACUCUCACGUGUCAGCCACACAUGUCACAUAUUUUUGAAGACUCUCCGCCAUCGUUCCGCUUUACCUGGCACUCCAGCUCUUUCUCUCAUUUUACCUCCGAAUUUGUGCAAAGUGGAAAUUGAUUUACAUUAAUAUUAAUAGCAUAAUAUUUGAGCAAGCUGCAACAUUACGAUACUGUAAUCUGUAAAUAACAUGCUUAAAUUACAUUAUUUCUUUUCGCAUUCCAAACUUGUAAAUCAAAUCAAAUUGCUCGUAUAGUUUCACUCUUAUUACUAAAAAAAAAAAAAAACCAUUGGAUGAGCUAAUUUGCACCGA